AAAAAUAUAAAAAUUAUCUUUCCAAAAUCAUUUAUCCAACACGAAUACUAGUAGAAUAGAAAGACUGACGUUCCAGCAACAGGAGCGAAAUCUGGGUUUUUUUUUAUUGUUUUUUCUUACAAAGAUUAAGAGACCCAAAAGGGAAAAGGACCCAACAUUCAAAGCUGCAUUCCGUUGGGUUUUUGUUUAACGACAUAGAGAAUCAAAGCUUCCGUUUUUCUGUUCCUUUUACAGAUCAUAGACCCAUUAAACUUGUUGAAAGAUCUUGAUCGAGUUGAGGGAUUGCUAGUUGGUGAAGUUUAGAUUUCAAGAAUCUUUGUGGUUCUUGUUAUCAAGAUAGUGUGCUACAUUGGCUAUGAUCCUGAUAUUCAAAAGGGUUUUCUUCAGUUUUAUCGCAAAAUAUGGUUUUCCAAGGAUCAGUGAUUGAGAAAGAAUUUUUCUGUUAGAAUUUACAAAACACGGUAUGUACUAUGUCCUUACCUUAUCUGGACUUUGCUCUUCUUUUUUUUUUUCUCCAAACGUGUGCAAAUGAAUUUAUGCAUUUUGUCCCUAUAUCAGUUUUGCAACAAACUAACUGUGGUGACGAUGGUGUUGGCAGAAUAUGUGGUUGCCCUAGUUCAGUGAU